rnacentral:lncRNA from 10 species
UCAAGCAAUUAUUCUGCCUCAGCCUCCCAAGUAGCUGGGAUUACAGGCGUGCGCCACCGCGCCUGGCUAAUUUUUGUAGUUUUUUUAGUAGAGACGGGGUUUCACCAUCUUGGCCAGGCUGGUCUUGAACUCCUGACAUCAUGAUCCACCCGCCUCGGCCUCCCAAAGUGCUGGGAUUACAGGCAUGAGCCACCGCACCUGGCCGCUCUUGUCUUUAGAGCAGGACAUUGUGAAGGUUAUUCGAGGGGCUUAAAAGGUUUUGUUUUGGUUCAUGGCCUAAUUUUAGCUUUCCGUCUUUCUGAAAAGUUAAGAUUUCUUCCCUUCUGAAUAAGUGGGAUGUUAUUAUAAUGAAAUGCACAAGUUCCUUUAGAACAUGCUAUGGCAAGCUAUCCAAGUUAGAGCUGUUGCUGAGGGAACCAGGCAAAGCUUGCUUAAUGUAUAAACCUGGUUAUUAUAUUUAAAAUUCAAGCAGCAGCCAGAGAUUCCUAUCGGGAGAGGGAAGACUUUACUUUUGAAGAGGAAAAGUACUUAACUCCUAGAGGAAAGCGUCAUUCCUGAGGUUUACCCUCAUGGUCUGGAGACAAACACGUGGGACUUUUCUUUUUUGUGUGUGUUUCUAAUAGUGGAAGAAAAGGAAAGCCAGGCUAAGCAGAGAAAAGUGGAAGAGGAGACACAGCAGCUCAUUCUUUCCCAGUAGCCGUUAGACUGAUUGCGGAGGGGAAGGUCAAAAGAGAAGUUCACAACUAUGAUACCAGCUCUAGAGGCGAAAGAACAACUGAGAGAGAACUAUCCAAGAAGUGUUUGGAUCCCGAAGCACAAAGGUAGACUUACAAAGGAUGAAAUUGAUCUCUACUACUAAGUGGAUCCAUCUUCAAGAGAGGGCGUUCAGAACACCCGGAAAGAUAAGAAAGGUGGUGAUCCUGAUGUGCAGAGUUGAGAAUACCUCAGGUAUUUUAACACACGGCUUUAUCUUUGAAGAACAGAAGAGACCCCAUGGGGAUACAGUCAGCCAAUGUGACUAAUUCUACAGGACAAAUGACCCAGUUUCCUCAAAAAUAAGUGCCAUGAAAUAUAUGGAGCAGGGAGGUGGAAACUGUCAUAAAUCAAAAGACUUGAGAUGUGUCAACCAAGUGAAACGUGUAAACCUUAUUUGGGUCCCAAUCUGAACAGACCGAAAAUGGGCAUUUUUGAGACACUUAGGGAAAACAGAACACAGAUUAUUUAAUACGAGGGAAUUAUUUUUGUUGGAUAUGAUAUUGGCACAGUGAUUGAAAAACAAAUUCCUUAUCUGUUAGAGCAAAAUACUGAUGAAUUUAUGGGUGAAAUAAUGUAUCUGAAAUUUACUGGGCUUGGUGGCUCAGGCCUGUAAUCCCAGAACUUUGGGAGGCUGAGGUAGGUGGAUCACCUGAGGUCAGGAGUUCAAGGCCAGGCUGGCCAACAUGGUGAAACCCCGUCUCUACUAAAAAUACAAAAAUU